CAAGCCCUGCCCUUUCAGGGCCUGUUUCCUUCCCUGUAAAAGGAGGAUCCAGGGCUCCCUCUGGCUCUGGCAUUCUCUGAGCCUUUGAGGGCCAAAGAUCUACUGGGGAUCAGGAAAGUGGGUCACAGAUUCUGGGUGUCCUUGUUUUUCCUGAAGUGCUCUGACGACCCUUCGACAUUCACAGCAGACAACGCCAGCAGGAAUACUGGAUGAUGGCGUUUGACGGUAUUUGCGGGCUGCCAUUCCCCUGCAUAUCUGUACUGAAUGCUGGAAGCCAAGCUUGCACAUUCUAGGCAGCCAUUUGGAAGAUUCUUCUCUGCGCAUGACCAGCUGAAAAGGAAAAACCCCGAAACAUUGGCACUGUGAUUUCUCCAUGUGAACAGUUUAGUUCGCCGAGGUGGACAUGCCUCAUUCAUGCUUAUGGAGUGACCGACCAGCCUUUAGUGACACCCCCUGAAAUGUGAGUCAUCCAUGGGUCACUAGUCAUUGGAGAAGAGCCCCUUAUACAAAACUUGGAGCUCAGACCACAAACAACAACAACAAUCCAAAAAAUAAAAAAAUGAAAAAUUAGGAGCAGAGACUAAAUGGAAAGAUGGAAAUAUUAAAAUAAAAAUAUUAUUUUAAAAAUUAAUAUGUAUUAAAAUUUU
rnacentral:lncRNA from 10 species